UACGUAGGGUCCGAGCGUUAAUCGGAAUUACUGGGCGUAAAGCGUGCGCAGGCGGCUAUGUAAGACAGGUGUGAAAUCCCCGGGCCUAACCUGGGAACUGCAUUUGUGACUGCAUAGCUAGAGUCCGUCAGAGGGGGGUGGAAUUCCACGUGUAGCAGUGAAAUGCGUAGAGAUGUGGAGGAACACCGAUGGCGAAGGCAGCCCCCUGGGAUGAGACUGACGCUCAUGUACGAAAGCGUGGGGAGCAAACAGG
rnacentral:rRNA from 1 species